UACAGAGGUCUCAAGCGUUGUUCGGAUUCAUUGGGCGUAAAGGGUGCGUAGGUGGCGCUGUAAGUCGGGUGUGAAAUUUCGAGGCUUAACCUCGAAACUGCAUUCGAUACUGCGGUGCUUGAGGACUGGAGAGGAGACUGGAAUUCAUGGUGUAGCAGCGAAAUGCGUAGAGAUCAUGAGGAAGACCAGUGGCGAAGGCGGGUCUCUGGACAGUUCCUGACGCUGAGGCACGAAGGCCAGGGGAGCAAAAGGG
rnacentral:rRNA from 1 species